rnacentral:tRNA from 1 species
ACUGGUCUAGCUCAGUCGGUGGAGCGCAAGUCUCUUAACUUUGUGGUUGUGGGUUCGAGCCCCAACGUUUCACG